CGAGGAGGAGGCGUGGCUUUGUCUGGUUCUGAGAGUCGGCGGAAAACCGAGCCAUUCAUUUCCGUGCCAGGGAGUAAGCUUACAGGCGGCACCGACUGAAAAUCUACCCUCCUGAACAACCAAACAACAGAAAUUUGCCAUGGGAGACACAGAAGUUCUGGCCGAUGUGACCAACACUGAUGUAGCCAUGAACGGAGACAAUGAGGUGUUUGAGGACAGU